UAGCCACCUCUCUUUUCUUCUCUUUCCCCACUCCUUGGCUACCUUCAAUAUAUACGGUGUGCUUGGUGUCCCUUUCCAUCGUCACUCCUUCCCCCACCCCUCCUUCUCCUUCACUGCCAUCAACCCAUCUCCCUCCUCACUUCCUCAAAUCCACCUCCCUCACUCCCUCGCAGCCUCACAGUCACAAAAAAGCACAAAGUGUCGCUCUCCAUCAUGAGGUGAACAAGUUCCAAUGCCUUCGAUUUGCAACAACCAGCGGGUGUGAUUAACAAGAAAAUGAAGCUUGCAAGGGAGUCUAUUGUCUACCCAUUGUAUUGCACGUUCCCUUUAUGGGUUUUAUAUUAUGAAUUAGGUUUUCUUUUCUAAAUUUUAUACCCAUUGCAUAUGUAAUUGAGCGUUUGAUCCUCUAUGAACAUAUCUUUGGGUAGAAACAAUAAUUCUUGAUGAAUUUUGGUUUAUUUGUUUGUUAAUUAGAUUUGCUUGAUAUUAAUGUUCAAACUUUGAUUUUAUGAAUUGAAAAUUUUGAUUUGAGAUUGAGAAUUGAGAG
rnacentral:misc_RNA from 1 species